GAAUUUGGCAUCUAAAUGGUGGCAUGAUCAGCAAAGAUUUAGAAGAAAGUAAGUAGUCCAGUCUCACACACAUGCCAACAUAUUUAGAAGCUUGUGGCUUAAAACAAAUGGCAAUGUUCAGGCACUAAUGGUGGUACUGUAGUACAACAACACUUCAGUUUCUCCCAAUUAGAUUUGUCUAUUCAUUCAAACCACUCAUUGUUCACUGGAGAGAGAGACAGAAUGAGCGGCGGAGCUAAGAAAGCGGUGUGGAUGGCGUGCAUGGCUGCCGUGGAGGUGCUGAAGGACCAGGGCUUCGCGCGGUGGAAUUAUCCGAUGAGGACGCUGCACCAGCACGCGAAGAGCAAGGUGGCAGCGUCCUACCAGGCCCGGAGAUCCUCGUUGGCGCUACCGUCGUCGACGGUGGUGUCUGGGAAGGUGAUGCGACUAUGCGAGAAGCGAAGAUGAGAAAAACUGAGAGGAAUUUCAACAGAGUCAUGGACGUUAGCUGCUUCGGUCCUAGUACUGUUAGAUUCUAGUUCCCGGCCGGCGAUCAUACGCAGAUUAAUGUAUGAACAU